CAAGUCGAGCGAACAGAUAAGGAGCUUGCUCCUUUGACGUUAGCGGCGGACGGGUGAGUAACACGUGGGUAACCUACCUAUAAGACUGGGAUAACUUCGGGAAACCGGAGCUAAUACCGGAUAACAUUUGGAACCGCAUGGUUCUAAAGUGAAAGAUGGUUUUGCUAUCACUUAUAGAUGGACCCGCGCCGUAUUAGCUAGUUGGUAAGGUAACGGCUUACCAAGGCGACGAUACGUAGCCGACCUGAGAGGGUGAUCGGCCACACUGGAACUGAGACACGGUCCAGACUCCUACGGGAGGCAGCAGUAGGGAAUCUUCCGCAAUGGGCGAAAGCCUGACGGAGCAACGCCGCGUGAGUGAUGAAGGGUUUCGGCUCGUAAAACUCUGUUAUUAGGGAAGAACAAAUGUGUAAGUAACUGUGCACGUCUUGACGGUACCUAAUCAGAAAGCCACGGCUAACUACGUGCCAGCAGCCGCGGUAAUACGUAGGUGGCAAGCGUUAUCCGGAAUUAUUGGGCGUAAAGCGCGCGUAGGCGGUUUCUUAAGUCUGAUGUGAAAGCCCACGGCUCAACCGUGGAGGGUCAUUGGAAACUGGGAAACUUGAGUGCAGAAGAGGAAAGUGGAAUUCCAUGUGUAGCGGUGAAAUGCGCAGAGAUAUGGAGGAACACCAGUGGCGAAGGCGACUUUCUGGUCUGUAACUGACGCUGAUGUGCGAAAGCGUGGGGAUCAAACAGGAUUAGAUA
rnacentral:rRNA from 1 species